rnacentral:rRNA from 1 species
CCUACGGGAGGCAGCAGUAAGGAAUAUUGGUCAAUGGAGGCAACUCUGAACCAGCCAUGCCGCGUGCAGGAAGACUGCCCUAUGGGUUGUAAACUGCUUUUGUCCGGGAAUAAACCUGUCUACGUGUAGGCAGCUGAAUGUACCGGAAGAAUAAGGAUCGGCUAACUCCGUGCCAGCAGCCGCGGUAAU